AUGGCGGAGAGGGAGCGGGAGCAGGCCGGGUGGGGUGGGGGGGUGGAGUGGGGCGGGGGUGCCGCAGGGCCGAAUCCCGCCCGGGCUCUGGGCGCGGUGGGCAGAUUUCUCGUGCUUCCUCUUUCUAGGGGCAGGGAUUGUGGGUUUCGGCGGGGUGGUCCCCACACUUGUACGCCAGGUAACGCGCCGACACACCUGAAGAGACCUGUGAAGAUGCCUCAGAUGGAGGCCGCACCUCUCAGGGCAGCACCCCCCAACGGCCUUUUAGGCGGAAGUGGGGGUGGCCACUUCCGGCCACGCCCUCUGGCCCCUCCCCAGGGCGGACAGGGCGGUGCUCUGGGCCGCAAUUCCUUCCUUCCUUCCUUCCUUCCGGGGAGGGAAGUGUGGAGCGGUUCCGGGUUCCGGGUUCCGGGUUCCGGGUUCCGGGUUCUGGGUUCCGGGAUCCGGGUUCCGGGUUCCGGGUUCCGGGUUUGGGGUUCAGGGUCUCAGGUGGGGCGUGGUCCCAGAGAAUUCCAAGCAUGCUUUUGUUGUCAGGCAGCUGGGCCCCAGGCUCCUCUCACAGCUCCAGUGGAGCCCGAGCCCUGCGGUGACGUGUGGGUCCUCCCGAGGCUGAUGGGGGAGGUGUGCGGCUUUGUGGGGUCCAUCUUCGGGUGUGGAUGGUACCCUCGGUUCUCUCGCACUGUAUCAUCUGGACUCCUCGUCGUGGGGGAGCCCCACUUCUCUGCUGACGGGAGACCAGGCCUCGACCCACGACCUCCAGUACCUGAGCCACCUGCUGUGGAGUGCAGGUGCACCUCAUGUGACCACCGCUCCCUGGGGCCUCCAGACCUGGCUGCUCUGGAUGGUGAGAUGGUGAACAACUUCCUCUCUGCCAACUGGAGACCAACACCUACCAGCAAAAAUACAUCUGCCCUUUGGCCCUGA
rnacentral:lncRNA from 1 species